GUUUAAGUUUUAAACCCCUCCCCCCCAUUACCUCGAAACAUUCCUGAAUGACGCUUUUAACCAGGAGGCUGGUAACCAUGGCAACCACUGAAUCCUUCACGGUGACGGCGGAGGAAACUGAAGGCAGUGAUUCGAUCCAUCAGACGCUUUGUUCUGCUGAUGAUGUCAUCACCUGUCGGCCUGCAGCAGCUUCUGAACGCCGUCCGCCAGACGACACACCUGGGCCUCCACGUCUGAUUGAGCCUGCACACACACACACACACACACACACACACACACACACACACACACACACACACACACAGAGCUGUAAUACAGUAUUACUACAGUAUUGAUACAGUAUUACUGCACAGUAGUGAUAUUGUAUCAUAUUUACUUUGAUGAGCGGAGCUGCUGCCGCUAUAGCAGCGGCUGUAGCGUAGGUGGCGUCUCCCAGGCAACCAAAUGAGAGCCCCGCCUCCAUCUGGACCCCCUCUACACCCGCUGCAUGCUGGAAGCUGGACCCCGGACCAGGAGCCCCCAGAGCGGCGAGGACGAUCCCUCGACCUCCGGCGCUGAAACGUGAUGUCAGGAGGUCGUGACCUUAUAGUGAUGAUGUCAGCAGAGGCAGUGUCAGAGGUCAAAGGCGGUCGGUCGUACAACUUCCUGUCUGGACUUGUCUCUGCUGUUGGAUGCUGCCGGAGGAGAAACACGUUUUAUUCAGAUGUGUGUGUGUCUUUGUGUGUGUGUCUCUCUGUGUCUGUCUCUGUGUAUGUGUGUGUCUCUCUGUGUCUUUGUGUGUGUGUGUAUAAUUCAUGUCUUUUGGCUAAAAAUCAUUUUUUUUCCUGAAACAAAGAAAUAAAACCUCAGUUUUUCGUCUCAU